rnacentral:other from 1 species
ACGGGGCUGCGGGGUGCGUUAGGCAUGCGUAUUCCCCGGGGCGAUACACACUCCUAGGGGACUGUUCCUUCCGAAACCGUGGUUUCGGAAUAUGGUUCCCACCUGCUUAUAGCGGGCCACGGAGGAAACCAACGCCGACGGCCGCUGUGGCUCCGUC